rnacentral:rRNA from 1 species
GUUUGAUCCUGGCUCAGAACGAACGCUCGCAGUGUGGAUUAGGCAUGCAAGUCGUGCGCGAAAGUCUUCGGACAAGUAAAGCGGCGAAAGGGUGAGUAACACGUAACCAACGUACCCUCUAGACCGGGAUAACCACUGGAAACGGUGGAUAAUACCGGAUGGUCCGCGGGAUGACAUCUUCCCGACGGUAAACGGUGGCUUCGGCUGCUGCUGGGGGAGCGGGUUGCGGCCUAUCAGCUUGUUGGUGGGGUAACGCCCUACCAAGGCAAUGACGGGUAGCGGGCCUGAGAGGAUGAUCCGUCACACUGGGACUGAGACACUGCCCAGACUCCUACGGGAGGCUGCAGUCGAGAAUCUUCCACAAUGGGCGAAAGCCUGAUGGAGCGACACUGCGUGCAGGAUGAAGGCCUUAGGGUUGUAAACUGCUGUCACGCUAUAGGAAUGUGCGGUCGUUAAUAGCGGCCGUAUUGACCAAAGCGAGAGGGAGUGCCGGCUAACUCCGUGCCAGCAGCCGCGGUAAGACGGAGGGCGCAAGCGUUGUUCGGAAUCACUGGGCAUAAAGAGCACGUAGGCUGUCAGCUAAGUCGGAUGUGAAAGCCCCCGGCCCAACCGGGGAACUGCAUUCGAUACUGGCUGACUUGAGGACAGGAGGGUGAGUGGAACUCCAGGUGGAACGGUGAAAUGUGUAGAUAUCUGGAGGAACACCGGUGGCGAAAGCGGCUCACUGGCCUGUCUCUGACGCUGAGGUGCGAAAGCUAGGGUAGCGAACGGGAUUAGAUACCCCGGUAGUCCUAGCCGUAAACGAUGGGCACUAGGCAGUGGGUUUUCCCUAUGGGACUCACCGCCGUAGCUAAUGUGUUAAGUGCCCCGCCUGGGGAGUACGCUCGCAAGGGUAAAACUCAAAGGAAUUGACGGGGGAUCACACAAGCGGUGGAGCAUGUGGUUUAAUUCGAAUCAACGCGAAGAACCUUACCUGGUCUUGACAUGCAUGGAUUAGCUCUAUGAAAAUAGAGUGACGGCUCUUCGGAGUUGGAACAUGUGCAGGUGUUGCAUGGCUGUCGUCAGCUCGUGUCGUGAGAUGUUGGGUUAAGUCCCGUAACGAGCGAAACCCUUGUCGUUAGUUGCCAGCGGGUAAUGCCGGGGACUCUAGCGAGACUGCCGUUGUCAAAACGGAGGAAGGUGGGGACGACGUCAAGUCAUCAUGGCCCUUAUGACAGGGCGACACACGUGCUACAAUGGCUGGCACAAAGGGUUCCAAGGCCGCGAGGUCAAGGCAAUCCCAUAAAGCCAGCCCCAGUUCGGAUUGCAGGCUGCAAUUCGCCUGCAUGAAGCCGGAAUCGCUAGUAAUCGCGUAUCAGCCAUGACGCGGUGAAUAUGUUCCUGAUCCUUGUACACACCGCCCGUCAAGCCACGGAAGCGGGGAGCGCUCGAAGUCGUUUUGUCCAACCUUCGGGAGGGCGGCGCCGAAAGCGAGCUCCGUGACUGGGACUAAGUCGAAACAAGGUA